CCUACGGGAGGCAGCAGUGGGGAAUAUUGCACAAUGGGGGAAACCCUGAUGCAGCGACGCCGCGUGAGUGAAGAAGUGACUCGGUAUGUAAAGCUCUAUCAGCAGGGAAGAAAAUGACGGUACCUGAAGAAGAAGCCCCGGCUAACUACGUGCCAGCAGCCGCGGUAAUACGUAGGGGGCAAGCGUUAUCCGGAUUUACUGGGUGUAAAGGGGGCGUAGACGGCGAUGCAAGUCUGGAGUGAAAGGCGGGGGCUCAACCCCCGGACUGCUCUGGAAACUGUAUGGCUGGAGUGCAGGAGAGGCAAGCGGAAUUCCUAGUGUAGCGGUGAAAUGCGUAGAUAUCAGGAGGAACACCAGUGGCGAAGGCGGCUUACUGGACUGUAACUGACGUUGAGGCUCGAAAGCGUGGGGAGCAAACAGGAUUAGAUACCCGAGUAGUC
rnacentral:rRNA from 1 species